rnacentral:misc_RNA from 1 species
CUGAAGUAGAAGGGAUUUUAUGCGCACUAAAGUUCUUCAAAAUAUAUUGCAGGUGUCUAAAUAUUAAGUUAACAACUUGAUUGCAGUGAGUAAUUAAAAGAAGUUUAGAGCAAGUGACAAGAUAUCACAUAACCCUCGAUCAUAUAAUGAUCUGCAAGCAUGUAGUCCAAUGGAAACACACAUACGUAGCCACAAAAUAAUUUAUGUUCCAAUAAAAAUAAGCUCUCCCAUUGGAUGUAUUUGAUUAUUGUGCUGAUUCGUCAUUUUUUAUUUCACAGAAAUUUUUUUAUUUUUUGCUGAAUUAAAGCUUGCUCGAUGGAACCCCAACUGGUGCUUCUCUGGAUCUCUUUUCUACAGCUCGAGAAAGCUUCUUGACCGCAUCUUUUGGCAGAUGACGAGGUCGGCUCAGCCAAAGUCCUCCAUCAACAAUUACAGUGGUUCCAUUAACAAAUUUACCAGCAUCAGAAGUUAGGUAGAGAGCAGCCAUAGCAAUGUCCCAUUUCUUCCCCAAUUUAUACAGAGGCAUGUAUUCUUUUGCUUUGCUAUUAAUCUCCUUGGGCACAAGUUUACUCAUGCCAGGGGUAUCAUCAAUGGGGCCUGGAGCAAUCCCAUUCACCCUAAUAUCAUAGUCGGUGCCCCACUCCAAUGCCAGAUUUCUGGCAAUAGCAUCAACAGCUGCCUUCGCAGCUGAUACAUGAAUCUGAUACCAAGAUGCUGUAUAGUGCAACGUAGCACUAAUGUUUAAAAUUGUUCCACCACCAGAUGAGCUUCGUCCAAGCCCUCCUUUCUUGAGAUACUUGAGGGCUUCAUGGCACAUUGUGAAGGUGCCAACAGCAUCGAUAUCCAAAACUGUAAGGGACAAUAGAAAACAAGAGCAUUUAGGUCAAAACCUGGCACAGCCUACAGCUAACAAGAGGUUUAUCAAUACUGAUAGAUAAAAUGAUUCUAUAUGUGAUUAAAAGCAGAAUUCCAAUUUGCUUAAAACUAUCAAUGAACCUUUAUCUCCACAUUUCAAUUAGUUUUUUAUUAAUAGAAGGCAUUUCAUGGUUUUUUUAAUUUUCUAUUUGUCCAUGUCUUAAUGAUGAAGAAAACAUCAAUCUACUUAAAGGAUAGGACAAUCUCAAUGAAACCCACUUAACACAUGCUUUAAAAACAAAAUUUUUUCAUAAUCUCUAAAGUUCUUUAGGAAGGUUCAGUUCCCUACAAUGUUCCAGAACAGCAAAGACGGUGUGAAAUUAGUUCUAAAACCUGUUCGAAAUCCAUUAGGCGACAAAUCCUCCGGCGAUACAAGAAAGUUGCCAGCUGCAGCAUUCACAAGAAUGUCAAUCCUGCCAAAACGUUUAAAAGUUGAUUCUAAAACUCUUUUAGCAUCUUCCUGCUUGCGAACAUCGCCCUCAAAGCCAACAGCCUGCAAAUACAGCAGCAAAGGAAUGCAACUAAAUGAGAUAGAAGUACAAGUUAUAAAGUUUGAAACAACAAAAUAAAACAGAAGCACAGACAAUAGGUCAAACCAGCUAUAUAAGGAGCAAUUGCUAAUCGAUGAGAAGAUAAAAAGGCUAAGCCAACCAUUAGUUUGUUCUAAAAAUAAAGAAAUCAGUAGCCCAUGAGAUGCCUAUCAAUCGAAUGAACCUCAUGGCUGUUAAAAGGAAUUACUUCGAAAAAAAACAAACAAAAUUUUUUUUUUAAAGGCAAAGGAAAUGAAGUGAACGAGAUGAUCAAAGAAAGAAAGAUAUGCUAAUUGAGAUGAGAUGGUGAAAUUGUCAACUGAAAAACAAUCCUUACGACAAUUCCAAGGGACUGGAGAUUGGAGACUGCAGAGUCAAGCACUUGCUUGCGUCUACCCAUAAUCGAAACAGAGGCACCAUGUUUUCCAAACUGUGCUGAUAUCUCAAAUCCAAUUCCUGACCCACCUCCUGUUAUUACAGCCACCUUCCCUUUCAAUAUAUCUGACCUAAAUGGCGACUCCAUCCCUCACUUUUCUCUUCUCUGAUUCCCUCCUUUCUUCUCUCUAUUCUGGAGCUGUUCUCUCUCUUGUCCACAUGUAGACGAAGCCUUCG